GCCUGGCUGGCUCAGUUGGUAGAACAUGUGACUCUUGAUCUCGGGGUCAUGAGUUUGAGCCCCAUGUUGGGUG
rfam:Ailuropoda melanoleuca scaffold65_94, whole genome shotgun sequence.